CCCCUAUAUAAUCUAUAUGAUGUCCCUAUAGGAGAAGAGCAAACUGGAAAGUGAACUGGCCAAUUUCGGGCCCCGAAUCAACGACAUUAAAAGGAUCAUCCAGGGCCGGGAGAGGGAGAUGAGGGACCUGAAGGAGAAGAUGAACCAGGUGGAGGAUGAGGUUUUUGAGGAGUUUUGCCGUGAAAUCGGGGUCCGCAACAUCCGCGAGUUCGAGGAGGAAAAAGUGAAGAGACAGAACGAGAUCGCCAAAAAGAGGUGGAAAUCAGCCCAAAAAUGACACCAAAUCUGACCCAAAUCUGACCCAAAUCAGCCCAAAAACACCCCCAAAAUCAUCCAAAAAUCACACUGAAAUCACACAAAAAAACACCCGAAGAACACCCUUGAAAUCACACUAAAAUCACCCCUGAAAUCAAACUGAAAUCACACCAAAAUCAGACUGAAACCACAC